rnacentral:rRNA from 1 species
CAGUCGCCGCGGUAAUACGUAGGUCCCGAGCGUUGUCCGGAUUUAUUGGGCGUAAAGCGAGCGCAGGCGGUUAGAUGAGUCUGAAGUUAAAGGCUGUGGCUUAACCAUAGUACGCUUUGGAAACUGUUUAACUUGAGUGCAAGAGGGGAGAGUGGAAUUCCAUGUGUAGCGGUGAAAUGCGUAGAUAUAUGGAGGAACACCGGUGGCGAAAGCGGCUCUCUGGCUUGUAACUGACGCUGAGGCUCGAAAGCGUGGGGAGCAAACAGGAUUAGAUACCCGAGUAGUCCCUGUCUCUUAUACA